rnacentral:rRNA from 1 species
GACGAACGCUGGCGGCGUGCUUAACACAUGCAAGUCGAACGGAAAGGCCCUGCUUUUGUGGGGUGCUCGAGUGGCGAACGGGUGAGUAACACGUGAGUAACCUGCCCUUGACUUUGGGAUAACUUCAGGAAACUGGGGCUAAUACCGGAUAGGAGCUCCUGCUGCAUGGUGGGAGUUGGAAAGUUUCGGCGGUUGGGGAUGGACUCGCGGCUUAUCAGCUUGUUGGUGGGGUAGUGGCUUACCAAGGCUUUGACGGGUAGCCGGCCUGAGAGGGUGACCGGCCACAUUGGGACUGAGAUACGGCCCAGACUCCUACGGGAGGCAGCAGUGGGGAAUAUUGCACAAUGGGCGGAAGCCUGAUGCAGCAACGCCGCGUGCGGGAUGACGGCCUUCGGGUUGUAAACCGCUUUCGCCUGUGACGAAGCGUGAGUGACGGUAAUGGGUAAAGAAGCACCGGCUAACUACGUGCCAGCAGCCGCGGUGAUACGUAGGGUGCGAGCGUUGUCCGGAUUUAUUGGGCGUAAAGGGCUCGUAGGUGGUUGAUCGCGUCGGAAGUGUAAUCUUGGGGCUUAACCCUGAGCGUGCUUUCGAUACGGGUUGACUUGAGGAAGGUAGGGGAGAAUGGAAUUCCUGGUGGAGCGGUGGAAUGCGCAGAUAUCAGGAGGAACACCAGUGGCGAAGGCGGUUCUCUGGGCCUUUCCUGACGCUGAGGAGCGAAAGCGUGGGGAGCGAACAGGCUUAGAUACCCUGGUAGUCCACGCUGUAAACGGUGGGUACUAGGUGUGGGGUCCAUUCCACGGGUUCCGUGCCGUAGCUAACGCUUUAAGUACCCCGCCUGGGGAGUACGGCCGCAAGGCUAAAACUCAAAGGAAUUGACGGGGCCCCGCACAAGCGGCGGAGCAUGCGGAUUAAUUCGAUGCAACGCGUAGAACCUUACCUGGGUUUGACAUGGAUCGGGAGCGCUCAGAGAUGGGUGUGCCUCUUUUGGGGUCGGUUCACAGGUGGUGCAUGGCUGUCGUCAGCUCGUGUCGUGAGAUGUUGGGUUAAGUCCCGCAACGAGCGCAACCCUUGUUCACUGUUGCCAGCACGUUAUGGUGGGGACUCAGUGGAGACCGCCGGGGUCAACUCGGAGGAAGGUGGGGAUGGCGUCAAGUCAUCAUGCCCCUUAUGUCCAGGGCUUCACGCAUGCUACAAUGGCUGGUACAGAGAGUGGCGAGCCUGUGAGGGUGAGCGAAUCUCGGAAAGCCGGUCUCAGUUCGGAUUGGGGUCUGCAACUCGACCUCAUGAAGUCGGAGUCGCUAGUAAUCGCAGAUCAGCAACGCUGCGGUGAAUACGUUCCCGGG